CACGGGGCAGGGAUGCGUAUGUCUCCUGUCUAAAGCCAGGAACGAGGACAGCAAGGAGAGGACACAGAGAAACAAACUGAGACUCGGAGAAGGGAAAUGACCUGUUCACAGUGAUGAGAAAAUAAACGACAGAUCUGGGAUUUGAA